ACUGCAAAAUUGCAAUAAAAGCCUUUUUUAAUCAGCAUGUAGCUGGCUUGGCCAAGAGCUCAGGUUGGUGGGCCUAAGCAUUCAAUGCUGUGAUAGAAAACCAGAUUCCAAACAAGGUUACUUACACUGGCUCGUGUAACUUGCGUUUGAGGAUCUAUUAAUCUGUAAUUACAUGUAGGGGAAAAAAAGUAGAUGUUUUUAGAGCAGUUCUUAUCAGUAACUUCAAGGUACUUUAUAAUCAUAAGGCAAUCGCUGUAUCUGUUUUACUGGUGAGGAAACAUAUGCAUGGAAUCAAAUGUUUUAUUGUGACUUCAACUCAGUCAGUGGCAAAGUUUAACUCUAGGCCGACUCCCAGCUGCAUAACCUGUUGGUCACAUUGACCUUCGGAAUCACCAGUUUGGUGAGCAUCCCAUGGGCGUGAGCUAACGCUGUAUGUGUGUGUACGAACACACACUCCAGUUAAAGUCUUGUCCAAACAUACUCUAUGGUGACGCUGCUGACACCAGGACAGUGCGAUGGCUUUUCUGCUGUUAUUACAUGUAAGGACGUUCUUAGAACUGAAGUCAGGAGGGUCUUCUACGUGAAGUCAAUCUCAGGGUCUCGCUCCCUUGAAGGGUGCAUUCCUUGGAGGAGCAGAAAAUCCUCAUCCCAGGUUUCACGAAGAGAACAGCAUACUGACAAGGGAUAAGCAAUGAAGAUUUUGCAGUACCUCAGGUUCUUGCUGGUGACCAUGAGAUGAGAUUCAGUCAUACGGAAUAUGUUGUGGAUCGCGCGAGCAGCUAACACUUGUCUCAUGGCUUCGUAAAUCACCUCGCUUGUGUUGUCUGACUGAACAGCCAUGGAUCCUAAAAACCGAACGAUGAACAUCUGCUGCAAGAGUGAAUCUGGAAGAUAAAAGGCACAACGUCUCUCACUGUGCUACUUCCAUUUUCUAGUAGUUGGAAAUACCGAUGGAGUUACUUUCUUUCCCCUUGGAAAUACAGAGAUAAAUGUGGGUGGUGAUUGCCCUCUAUGAGCCAGGUGUUGUUCUGAUGCAGUUUUAAGCCGCUUCAAGUAGCAGCACCACAAAGAAUGCUACACUUCAGCUGUGCUAUGGUGAUCCAGUUGUUCAGUCUGAGACACAGGGCAGGCACCAGGCACUGCACGCUCCCAUGUCCUGCAGUGGCUAAGGGUGCUGCUGUUGCUGAUGAUGCAGAGGUGCCUGAUUCUCACAGCCUCUCUGUGAGCCAUCCUACUUUGCAAUGGGACAGCAGAUCUAAGAAGACCAAAUCUUUUUGACUUUAAACUUUUGAAAUAAACCUAAUCUGCAAUACAGCUUGGACUGUCAAAGAAGAAAGUUUGUAUUCACAGCCAGCGAUAUUUAAUAGGCAGGCUUCUGAAACACAACCAGCUUCAACUAUACUAUGGGUUUCUGUGCCUGCUCCAGAUGCCAGGUGCUUUCAUUAAGAGACACCAGAGAGGGCUGAACUAAGCCUGAGAUCACAGCUGCUUUUAUCUGGGAAAAUGAAGCACUGACCUUCCUCCUCAUCUUUGCUACCAUCUUCAGACUCCCCAAAUGGGUUUGCACGCCUGUGAAAGAAGAAUGAAAACUAUCAUAAUAGAUUCUGGUCACCACAUAUAAAUGCUGAAACAUCUGAUAUUCUCCUCCAAAAAUGACUCUGCUAAGGUGAGAAAUCACCGUCUCUGACCAUACCUGCCACCUCUGUUCUGGUCCAGGAAUUCUGUGGCAGGCAGUACAAUAUCAAACUGAAUCGGCGUACCAAGAGCAAUAAGUUGCGUGGAGUCCUGAAUGCCAGCUGAUUCACUGGGAGUUGUUUUACCAUUAUCUGUAGGCUUUACAUUCUGGCUAAAGUUAAAAGGGGAAAAACAAAAUUUAAUCAGUGACACCUGACACUGCAUCUGUGCUUUGGAAGGAAGACAAGAUUAUCCAAAGAUCCAAAGUGGACUGAAGUAGUAUUCAUUAACAAAAAUAAGCAUUACUGAGGUCUAAAGUAAAAUCUGUCCUGUUUUUUAUACCUACAAUUAUUUAGAAACAAAUAACUUGUUGGUAUAUUAAACCCUAAUGCAGAUCAACUCCAUGCAGACUGACUGCCAGGAGCACGUUGCUGUUUCCCCCCUGCCCUCUGGUGGCCAUAUUUGCAGUCUGGUGACCAGUCCAAACAGCAGAGACCUGGACUUGUUUCUGAACAUGCAAAUUGUGGCCAGUCUUUGAGAUCUUAUGUGGCCACAAGCAACGUGAUAGUUAGAAGUGUCACAUACAGAUCUCUUCCUGCAUCUUCUUCAAAGAUUGACUGACUGACUUGAAUGAGCGCAUGAGAACAACAGUAACUAUUUUGACAGCACGGUGAGGCACACUCCUGUGACAGACUGACAGGAAUUAGUUGAGAUAACGUGCAAGAAUAUUUCAAUGUACAAUGGGAGCUCUGCUGUAUUAUCCACAUCACAAGUUGUUCCUUUACUGCAAAGUGCUUAGAAGUAAAGCGUGUUUGUUUUAGAAGAAAACAAAAACGCAGUGGCAACUACGUGGAGCUUCAAGGCUGUGCUGUGGAACAAUAAGAAUUACCCUCAACACUUUGCAUCUCUUCUGGCUUUCAGCAGGCAACAUCAGAAGUAGAGGAACUUGCUGGAACACAUAAGAUAGUAAGGGCAGGGGCUAGACAGGACCUUCUCCUGGGUGACUGCUGCCAUGUGAGAGGAGUGUGACUGAGCAGGCAGCAGUCUCAUGUCCAUGAAAGUGAGUACAUUACCUGGGAUGGUGAGCUUCAUGUUUUUUUGCAAAGCUAGUAAUGGGAGUCACUGCUUGUAGGGCCGUCUGAUUUAACUUGAUUGCAGCUGCCUAGGAAAACAAAACAGAACAACAGAGCAACAUUGGAUGCAUCGUCACAUAAUGAACAACAGUAAGGCAAAUGGUAAGGAAUGGACUGAAAGAUGGAAACAAUCUCCCACCUCUGGAUUGUCGGUGAGAUAGAUCUGUCUGGAAAUGUUGUUGAUGGCACAUAUCCACUAGAAGGCAAAAAAAUAAGAGCUGAACUCUUCACACUCAUGUUUAUACAAGAAUGACAACAUCAAGACAAUAUUUUUACCUCCUCGUAUUCCUUCCUGCUUUCUGCUUGAAGAGUUAUACCCCUAAAAUACAAACAGUGUAUCAGCGCUAGCAGUGGACAGGACUCCCAGUCUUACAGUGUCAAUGUUUCCAUUAACUUUUUAAGGAACAAAAAUCACAAACAGGCUGCAGCUAAAGGAUACUGCCUUUGCUCUUCAGACAGUUGUCGGGGAAGAUGGGAAUAAACACGCUCUUAGUUAACAACCUUCCAGAAACCCAGAAAGGCUUACUAUUCUAGCAAGCAAGUUUUACAUGAAACAAUAUCUGAGCAGGCAGGUGUGACUGGGUGUCCUCAAUAAUGCCUGUCUCUCAUACGUUUUGCCUGUAGGAGUAGUGAUCUGAAAGCAAUAUCUUCUGUCUUCGCAGUCCACAGCCAUAACAGAGCAGUUGUCCAGGUCCUGAAUCAAUCCUCCAGCUACCGCUCCCCUCGGUUGACACAUCAAGUUGCCACCUUGGGUGAAGAAGUAUAGUCUUUCCCAAGUUGUAGUCACCAGACCUGUUUUACUAAAAAGAAGAUGCAGUGAUAAAAACUCAUUACUAUUUAAAAAUGACUCCACGUGACCUAAAGAAACUUCAAACGUACCCUGAACUUUAUGCUCAGCCGUGCAAAAGUUUUAAUGAUGAGAAGUAAAAUCAAUACCUAUUCCUAGCAGAGAUUAAUCCUUAAUCUAAGGUGAAGAAUUCAUCUCGUAGAAUGGUUAAGGUUGGAAGGGACCUUUAAGAUAGUUCUAACCCCACUGCUAUAGGCAGGGACAUCUCCCGCCAGAUCAAGUUGCUCAAUCCAGCCUGGAUGGGGCUUUCUAAUUCUAAACAUCCGAGGGUAAGAAGAUUCUCUGCAGUAUCUCCUAGUUAUGUGAUACAUGAAUUGUUAGUAUUGAGUAACUGACAUGAAAUACUAUCAAGCUUGAUUAAAAAAAUAUUUUCAAGCUGCUGAGCAGCACGAGCAAUUUUGGAACAUUGUAAGCGUCUUCUGCAGUAUCUCAAAGUUUAUCUGCCUUGCUAUGAAAUCCUUUCUGUUAUAUUGUAAGCCAGCACUUAGAACGCUGCUAGAAAUCCUAAGUAUCCAAUACAAGGAAAACAAGAAAAUAUUACAAGUAAGACAGAAAUGAACUGACUUUUUUCAGUUACAUAGACCAUGUUAUCCUAUGCCACCUCGCUCUGCUGCUGUAGGAGCUGGAAGAUCUUAUUUGGAAAAUCUGCAGAGGUAACUCUCUGUAUGGCAUACAUUUAACUUGUGUGGUCCAUGAAACUUGUGUUUAUGCAAAGGACGUGGUUUAUAAAAACCCAUAUUAAAUACAAAGUAUAGCUAGCUGUUCUUUGUAAACACUGUUUUCCUGAGCCCUAAGAACUGGGAACAAUCUGAGCACAGACACAUAGGCUUCUAACUUUUACCCAGCUAAUCACAGAAAAUCAUCCCUGAAGGCAAAUUCAACCAGAAGUAAACCGCUGUUUUCAGGGAAAUCAUAUCAAAUGCCCCUAAUUGGGUUUAAGCUUCUCAAACACAUUUUCAAAGGUGGCAGAGACACUUAGGAGUUGAAGGGUAAAGCUACCACAGCGAUUCAGGAGCCUAGAACAUCAUUAUCUGAGAAGUGUUCAAGACCUAAAAAAACCAGUAAUACAGCAACUAGUCAGCAAUUACAGAAAGCAGCAGGCAGCAACGGCUGUCUUACUUUCUAAGAUUAAGGUAGCCAGCCUUCUGGAUGAGAUUCCUAUUGAUAACAGGUGAAGUUACAUCAGAGUCUGGGGUAUAAACAGACUCAUUAACUGAAAUUAAGUCCUGCUGGGAUAUCCUCAUUUUUUCAGCUUCAGCAUCCAACUCUCCCUGUAUGCUGAAAAACAAAACAAAACAAAUUCAGAACCACCAUUAGUCAAUUCAUAGCAGGAUACAGAUAACAUCUGUGACCCAACAUGAACAAAAAACAUCAGCUGAGAUUAUAUAUGAAGCCAUUUAAAUAUAUAAAGCAUUUGAGUAAAAUCUACUGGUUGGGAGAGUAAUGAAUGCAAAGAUAAAGUUUAUUUUCAGAUGAGAUUUCUAUAGGAAAUGUAAUGUAAGACUACAGGGCUGAGUCCUUCCCUAAGGACUGAAUAAAUCAGUCAAGUUAGGAAAGAAUAGAAGGAAGGAACAUACAAUAAGGAACUACUCCAGGAAAAUGCCAUCUGAGGCCCAAGAGACAAGAUGUGUAUGCUCUGAAGAUAUUAACAAUGGUUUAAAGAAAAUAUGGCUGUGUGUAUGGCAGGCUGGCAGCAAAAGCACAGCCAGCAUUUCCCCUUGCUCUUUAUUGUGAAAGCCCAGCUUGAAGGCGUUACUCUCAAUGUCUCUUAUAAUAGCUGUGCCUUUUUUCCCCUCCAAUUUGUGAUCAACAGUUAUCUUCUUUCCAUAAACAGUAUACAGGGAUAAUGAUCAGAAUUAUUCUGUAAGCCUGAAAUGAGUAAACAGGAGGCACGUUUAAGUGUUGAGAAUGAAGAAUUAAGUUGUUGGGUUUUUGUUUGUUUUUUUGAGUGACAGCUUCUAAAAUAAAUGCCUGAGUUUACCCUGCUGAACAUAUACAGAUGGUGCUCUAAUGGCACAGUUCAAAGCAGGCUUUCCUGUAGUAUCUCUUGACUUUCACAGAACUAUAUAUCUGGUAUAACAUCCUGGAAUUGCUGCAAGUUUUCCUAGAAGCCAUUUCCAGGCACAUGAAGGUGAAGGUGGCAAAUGGGAACAGCAAGCACAGAUUUACCAAGGAUAAAUCAUAUCUGACCAUCCUGACUGCCUGCUGUGAUGCAAUGUCUAGCUUGGUGGGUGAAAGAACCUCAUGAAGUUCAGCAAAGGCAAAGUCCUGUCUGGGGUGGAGAAGCCCUAUGCAACAGUAAACACCAGGAGGCAUCUGGGUAGAAAGAUUUCAGCAAAGGACUGAAGGUCCUGCGGCACAAGCCAGCACCGUGCUCUUACAGUAAAAAAAUGCCAGCUACAUCCUGGGCUGCAUGAGCAAUAGUACAGAUAGCAGCUGACUGAAGUCACCAUUCCCACCUAUCCAGUGGUUUUCGAGCCUCCAGUAGACACUGUGUCUAGUUUUGGUGCCCCAGCAUAUGACAGUCAGAAACAAAAAGCAAGACAGUCAGGAAAGCAGAGCACGUGACGUGAGAAAAGGCUGUAGAAUUGUUUUCCAGCCUUAUGAAGAUGAAGAGGAGCUAGCUUAAUAACCUAGUGGAAGAAAAUAAAGCAGAUGGAGACAGAUGGAACCAUCCCUUCUUGGAGGUGUGCAGUGAUAGAUGAAAGACAACGGACACAAGGAGUAGCAAAGUACUGUACAUGUGAGAUAGAAAGAGACUCAGAGUUCAACUGGACACAGCCCUGAGCACGCUGCUCAAGGAGGUCCUGCUCUCAGCAGG